GACGAACCGUGCGAACGUUGUUCGGAAUCACUGGGCUUAAAGGGCGCGUAGGCGGGUGGCCGCGUCUGGGGUGAAAUCCUUCAGCUUAACUGGAGAAUGGCCUCAGGUACGGGCGAUCUUGAGGAAGGUAGGGGUCGGCGGAACUGUGCGUGGAGCGGUGAAAUGCGUUGAUAUGCACAGGAACUCCGGUGGCGAAGGCGGCCGACUGGACCUUUUCUGACGCUGAGGCGCGAAAGCUAGGGUAGCGAACGGG
rnacentral:rRNA from 1 species